rnacentral:tRNA from 1 species
CAGGGAGACAACACAAUGAUUUUGAUGCCUGAGUGCUUUUAUUCUUAGGCCGAAAUCCUGUCACCUUAGGUCGAUCGGUACCUCAGCUUUGAAGUUAAGGAUCAGCAGCAAUGUUGAUUGCUUGAUGGAGAUUUUCAGUUCCUAAACUUUGUCUAGGUCACACCCCAAAAGGGAUGAGACUCCUGGGCCAUUAGCUCAGGUGGUUAGGGCGCACCCCUGAUAAGGGUGAGGUCCCUGGUUCAAGUCCAGGAUGGCCCAUUCGGUGUUGGGGGUUUAGCUCAGUUGGUAGAGCGCCUGCUUUGCAAGCAGGAUGUCAGGAGUUCGAGUCUCCUAACCUCCACUGACCGAACUUGAUUCCCAUCUCCAAUUUUUUGGAGUUGAGCUCGAUUGGAGUGUGAUUUAGAUGUGUCCGCUGGAUGACCCCAGCUUCCUGUCAUUCCAAGUUUUAGGUUAAAGCCUUGAAUUUGGUUGAUAAGAUGCUGGGCUCGGAUCAAAUGAUCAAGUAAUUGAUGAUUUGAUUUGAAGUUCUAGCAGAACCUUGACAACUGCAUAGGUGAGUCUGGAAAAAACAAAGCAUCUUACAGAUGCAUUGUUUUGAAUCUGAUUUUCUGAAAGGGAGAUUGGAUCUAGAACAAUGAAAAUUCUUUUGAGCAAGAGCCGAGACUCUUGAACGUUCUUUGAUUGGUGUCGAGCCAAUCAGAGUUUGAUCUUGUUUUUAGCAAUAAAAACUUGAGAAUCUGCUUUCAACGGUGGUAAGCGUUCAGGAGGUUAAUU